rnacentral:rRNA from 1 species
CGUCACACUAUCAUUAACUGAAUCCAUAGGUUAAUGAGGCGAACCGGGGGAACUGAAACAUCUAAGUACCCCGAGGAAAAGAAAUCAACCGAGAUUCCCCCAGUAGCGGCGAGCGAACGGGGAGGAGCCCAGAGCCUGAAUCAGCAUGUGUGUUAGUGGAAGCGUCUGGAAAGGCGCGCGAUACAGGGUGACAGCCCCGUACACAAAAGCGCAUGUGCUGUGAGCUCGAUGAGUAGGGCGGGACACGUGGUAUCCUGUCUGAAUAUGGGGGGACCAUCCUCCAAGGCUAAAUACUCCUGACUGACCGAUAGUGAACCAGUACCGUGAGGGAAAGGCGAAAAGAACCCCGGCGAGGGGAGUGAAAAAGAACCUGAAACCGUGUACGUACAAGCAGUGGGAGCACCCUUCGGGGUGUGACUGCGUACCUUUUGUAUAAUGGGUCAGCGACUUAUAUUCUGUAGCAAGGUUAACCGUAUAGGGGAGCCGGAGGGAAACCGAGUCUUAACCGGGCGUUAAGUUGCAGGGUAUAGACCCGAAACCCGGUGAUCUAGCCAUGGGCAGGUUGAAGGUUGGGUAACACUAACUGGAGGACCGAACCGACUAAUGUUGAAAAAUUAGCGGAUGACCUGUGGCUGGGGGUGAAAGGCCAAUCAAACCGGGAGAUAGCUGGUUCUCCCCGAAAGCUAUUUAGGUAGCGCCUCGUGAAUUCAUCUCCGGGGGUAGAGCACUGUUUCGGCUAGGGGGCCAUCCCGGCUUACCAACCCGAUGCAAACUGCGAAUACCGGAGAAUGUUAUCACGGGAGACACACGGCGGGUGCUAACGUCCGUCGUGAAGAGGGAAACAACCCAGACCGCCAGCUAAGGUCCCAAAGUCAUGGUUAAGUGGGAAACGAUGUGGGAAGGCCCAGACAGCCAGGAUGUUGGCUUAGAAGCAGCCAUCAUUUAAAGAAAGCGUAAUAGCUCACUGGUCGAGUCGGCCUGCGCGGAAGAUGUAACGGGGCUAAACCAUGCACCGAAGCUGCGGCAGCGAACGUAUCACCCAAGACAACUUUACGGAGUUGACGAUUGACGGAGCGAAGCGACGUCAAAGCGUUCAUUAAAGUCGAGUUGGCUUAGGGAUACGUUCGUUGGGUAGGGGAGCGUUCUGUAAGCCUGUGAAGGUGUGUCGUGAGGCAUGCUGGAGGUAUCAGAAGUGCGAAUGCUGACAUAAGUAACGAUAAAGCGGGUGAAAAGCCCGCUCGCCGGAAGACCAAGGGUUCCUGUCCAACGUUAAUCGGGGCAGGGUGAGUCGACCCCUAAGGCGAGGCCGAAAGGCGUAGUCGAUGGGAAACGGGUUAAUAUUCCCGUACUUGGUGUUACUGCGAAGGGGGGACGGAGAAGGCUAUGUUGGCCGGGCGACGGUUGUCCCGGUUUAAGCGUGUAGGUGUGUGUUCCAGGUAAAUCCGGUUCACUUUAACACUGAGGCGUGACGACGAGGCACUACGGUGCUGAAGCAACAAAUGCCCUGCUUCCAGGAAAAGCCUCUAAGCAUCAGGUAACACGAAAUCGUACCCCAAACCGACACAGGUGGUCAGGUAGAGAAUACCAAGGCGCUUGAGAGAACUCGGGUGAAGGAACUAGGCAAAAUGGUGCCGUAACUUCGGGAGAAGGCACGCUGACACGUAGGUGAAGUGAUUUACUCAUGGAGCUGAAGUCAGUCGAAGAUACCAGCUGGCUGCAACUGUUUAUUAAAAACACAGCACUGUGCAAACACGAAAGUGGACGUAUACGGUGUGACGCCUGCCCGGUGCCGGAAGGUUAAUUGAUGGGGUCAGCGCAAGCGAAGCUCCUGAUCGAAGCCCCGGUAAACGGCGGCCGUAACUAUAACGGUCCUAAGGUAGCGAAAUUCCUUGUCGGGUAAGUUCCGACCUGCACGAAUGGCGUAAUGAUGGCCAGGCUGUCUCCACCCGAGACUCAGUGAAAUUGAACUCGCUGUGAAGAUGCAGUGUACCCGCGGCAAGACGGAAAGACCCCGUGAACCUUUACUAUAGCUUGACACUGAACAUUGAGCCUUGAUGUGUAGGAUAGGUGGGAGGCUUUGAAGUGUGGACGCCAGUCUGCAUGGAGCCGACCUUGAAAUACCACCCUUUAAUGUUUGAUGUUCUAACGUGGACCCGUAAUCCGGGUUGCGGACAGUGUCUGGUGGGUAGUUUGACUGGGGCGGUCUCCUCCUAAAGAGUAACGGAGGAGCACGAAGGUUGGCUAAUCCUGGUCGGACAUCAGGAGGUUAGUGCAAUGGCAUAAGCCAGCUUGACUGCGAGCGUGACGGCGCGAGCAGGUGCGAAAGCAGGUCAUAGUGAUCCGGUGGUUCUGAAUGGAAGGGCCAUCGCUCAACGGAUAAAAGGUACUCCGGGGAUAACAGGCUGAUACCGCCCAAGAGUUCAUAUCGACGGCGGUGUUUGGCACCUCGAUGUCGGCUCAUCACAUCCUGGGGCUGAAGUAGGUCCCAAGGGUAUGGCUGUUCGCCAUUUAAAGUGGUACGCGAGCUGGGUUUAGAACGUCGUGAGACAGUUCGGUCCCUAUCUGCCGUGGGCGCUGGAGAACUGAGGGGGGCUGCUCCUAGUACGAGAGGACCGGAGUGGACGCAUCACUGGUGUUCGGGUUGUCAUGCCAAUGGCACUGCCCGGUAGCUAAAUGCGGAAGAGAUAAGUGCUGAAAGCAUCUAAGCACGAAACUUGCCCCGAGAUGAGUUCUCCCUGAGACUUAGAGUCUCCUGAAGGAACGUUGAAGACGACGACGUUGAUAGGCCGGGUGUGUAAGCGCAGCGAUGCGUUGAGCUAACCGGUACUAAUGAACCGUGAGGCUUAACCUU